GCGGACGGGUGAGUAACACGUAGGCAACCUGCCCUCAAGACUGGGAUAACUACCGGAAACGGUAGCUAAUACCGGAUAAUUUAUUACAUAGCAUUAUGUGAUAAUGAAAGACGGAGCAAUCUGUCACUUGGGGAUGGGCCUGCGGCGCAUUAGCUAGUUGGUGGGGUAANGGCCCACCAAGGCGACGAUGCGUAGCCGACCUGAGAGGGUGAACGGCCACACUGGGACUGAGACACGGCCCAGACUCCUACGGGAGGCAGCAGUAGGGAAUCUUCCGCAAUGGGCGAAAGCCUGACGGAGCAACGCCGCGUGAGUGAUGAAGGUUUUCGGAUCGUAAAGCUCUGUUGCCAAGGAAGAACGUCUCAUAGAGUAACUGCUAUGAGAGUGACGGUACUUGAGAAGAAAG
rnacentral:rRNA from 1 species